GAUGAACGCUGACAGAAUGCUUAACACAUGCAAGUCAACUUGAACUUCGGUUUGGGUGGCGGACGGGUGAGUAACGCGUAAAGAACUUGCCUCACAGAUAGGGACAACAUUUGGAAACGAAUGCUAAUACCUGAUAUUAUGAUUUUAGGGCAUCCUAGAAUUAUGAAAGCUAUAUGCGCUGUGAGAGAGCUUUGCGUCCCAUUAGCUAGUUGGAGAGGUAACGGCUCACCAAGGCGAUGAUGGGUAGCCGGCCUGAGAGGGUGAUCGGCCACAAGGGGACUGAGACACGGCCCUUACUCCUACGGGAGGCAGCAGUGGGGAAUAUUGGACAAUGGACCAAGAGUCUGAUCCAGCAAUUCUGUGUGCACGAUGAAGUUUUUCGGAAUGUAAAGUGCUUUCAGUUGGGAAGAAAAAAAUGACGGUACCAACAGAAGAAGUGACGGCUAAAUACGUGCCAGCAGCCGCGGUAAUACGUAUGUCACAAGCGUUAUCCGGAUUUAUUGGGCGUAAAGCGCGUCUAGGUGGUUAUAUAAGUCUGAUGUGAGAAUGCAGGGCUCAACUCUGUAUUGCGUUGGAAACUGUGUAACUAGAGUACUGGAGAGGUAAGCGGAACUACAAGUGUAGAGGUGAAAUUCGUAGAUAUUUGUAGGAAUGCCGAUGGGGAAGCCAGCUUACUGGACAGAUACUGACGCUGAAGCGCGAAAGCGUGGGUAGCAAACAGG
rnacentral:rRNA from 1 species